rnacentral:hammerhead_ribozyme from 1 species
AUCCAAUUGACGAGUCCCAAAUAGGACGAAAUGCUCUUUUUCCUGGAU